UACGGGGGGGGCAAGCGUUGUUCGGAAUUACUGGGCGUAAAGGGCUCGUAGGCGGCCAACUAAGUCAGACGUGAAAUCCCUCGGCUUAACCGGGGAACUGCGUCUGAUACUGGAUGGCUUGAGGUUGGGAGAGGGAAGCGGAAUUCCCGGUGUAGUGGUGAAAUGCGUAGAUAUCGGGAGGAACACCAGUGGCGAAGGCGGCUUCCUGGCCUGUUCUUGACGCUGAGGCGCGAAAGCUAGGGUAGCAAACGGG
rnacentral:rRNA from 1 species